GAUGAACGCUGGCGGCGUGCCUAAUACAUGCAAGUCGAGCGAAAAGACGAGGAGCUUGCUCCUCUGACGUUAGCGGCGGACGGGGGAGUAACACGUGGAUAACCUACCUAUAAGACUGGGAUAACUUCGGGAAACCGGAGCUAAUACCGGAUAAUAUAUUGAACCGCAUGGUUCAAUAGUGAAAGACGGUUUUGCUGUCACUUAUAGAUGGAUCCGCGCCGCAUUAGCUAGUUGGUAAGGUAACGGCUUACCAAGGCAACGAUGCGUAGCCGACCUGAGAGGGUGAUCGGCCACACUGGAACUGAGACACGGUCCAGACUCCUACGGGAGGCAGCAGUAGGGAAUCUUCCGCAAUGGGCGAAAGCUUGACGGAGCAACGCCGCGUGAGUGAUGAAGGUCUUCGGAUCGUAAAACUCUGUUAUUAGGGAAGAACAAAUGUGUAAGUAACUAUGCACGUCUUGACGGUACCUAAUCAGAAAGCCACGGCUAACUACGUG
rnacentral:rRNA from 1 species